AGGUUAAGUUAACAAGGGCGCAUGGUGAAUGCCUUGGUACUAGGAGCCGAUGAAGGACGGGACUAACACCGAUAUGCUUCGGGGAGCUGUACGUAAGCUAUGAUCCGGAGAUUUCCGAAUGGGGCAACCCAGCAGUUUUAAUCAACUGUUACCACUAGAUGAAUUCAUAGUCUAGUUGGAGGUAAACGCUGUGAACUGAAACAUCUCAUUAGCAGCAGGAAUAUAAAGAAAUUUCGAUUCCCUAAGUAGCGGCGAGCGAACGGGGAACAGCCCAAACCAAAGUGCUUGCACUUUGGGGUUGUAGGACUGAACAUUUGAGUUACCAAAGAACUUGAUAGUCGAAGGAUUUGGGAAAAUCCGCCAUAGAUGGUGAUAGCCCAGUAGAUUAAAUCAAAUUCUCUCAGUUCAGGAUCCUGAGUACGGCGGAACACGUGAAAUUCCGUCGGAAUCCGGGAGGACCAUCUCCCAAGGCUAAAUACUACCUAGUGACCGAUAGUGAACCAGUACCGUGAGGGAAAGGUGAAAAGCACCCCGGGAGGGGAGUGAAAUAGUUCCUGAAACCAUGUGCCUACAAUAAGUCAGAGCGCGUUAAUGCGUGAUGGCGUGCCUUUUGUAGAAUGAACCGGCGAGUUAUGAUCCCGUGCAAGGUUAAGACUAAAAAGUCGGAGCCGUAGCGAAAGCGAGUCUGAAAUGGGCGUUUUGAGUACGAGGUUAUAGACCCGAAACCAGGUGACCUAUCCAUGUCCAGGUUGAAGGUGCGGUAAAACGCACUGGAGGACCGAACCCGUGUAAGUUGAAAAUUGCUGGGAUGAGGUGUGGAUAGCGGUGAAAUUCCAAACGAACUUGGAGAUAGCUGGUUCUCUCCGAAAUAGCUUUAGGGCUAGCCUCGGAAUUAGGAUCAUGGAGGUAGAGCACUAUUUGGACUAGGGGCCCGUCUUGGGUUACUGAAUUCAGAUAAACUCCGAAUGCCAUUGAUUCAUAUCCGGGAGUCAGACGAUGAGUGAUAAGAUCCACCGUCGAAAGGGGAACAGCCCAGACCAUCAGUUAAGGUCCCUAAAUGUAUGCUAAGUGGAAAAGGAUGUGGAGUUGCAUAGACAACUAGGAUGUUGGCUCAGAAGCAGCCACCAUUUAAAGAGUGCGUAAUAGCUCACUAGUCGAGUGAUCCUGCGCCGAAAAUGUACCGGGGCUAAGCAUACUACCGAAACCAUGGAUGCGACCAUUAGGUCGCGUGAUAGGAGAGCGUUCUAAGGGCGGUGAAGCAAGAUCGUGAGGACUUGUGGAGCGCUUAGAAGUGAGAAUGCCGGUAUGAGUAGCGAAAGAUAGGUGAGAAUCCUAUCCACCGAAUGACUAAGGUUUCCUGGGGAAGGCUCGUCCUCCCAGGGUUAGUCGGGACCUAAGUCGAGGCCGAGAGGCGUAGACGAUGGAUAACAGGUUGAGAUUCCUGUACUAGUUAAGUGCGUUUGAGCAAUGGAGGGACGCAGGAGGCUAAGAUGUGCAUUCUGUUGGAUUAGAAUGUCCAAGCAGUAAGUCUUGUGAAGAGUCAAAUGCUUUUCACUUUAAGGACAAGCUGUGAUGGGGAGCGAAAUUUAGUAGCGAAGCGUCUGAUGUCACACUGCCGAGAAAAGCUUCUAGUGAGUACUUAACUACCCGUACCGCAAACCGACACAGGUAGUCGAGGAGAGAAUCCUAAGGUGAGCGAGUGAACUCUCGUUAAGGAACUCGGCAAAAUGACCCCGUAACUUCGGGAGAAGGGGUGCUGAUCGCAAGAUCAGCCGCAGUGAAUAGGCCCAGGCGACUGUUUAUCAAAAACACAGGUCUCUGCAAAAUCGUAAGAUGACGUAUAGGGGCUGACGCCUGCCCGGUGCUGGAAGGUUAAAAGGAUGGGUUAGCUUCGGCGAAGCUCAGAAUUGAAGCCCCAGUAAACGGCGGCCGUAACUAUAACGGUCCUAAGGUAGCGAAAUUCCUUGUCGGGUAAGUUCCGACCCGCACGAAAGGCGUAACGAUCUGGGCACUGUCUCAACGAGAGACUCGGUGAAAUUAUAUUGUCCGUGAAGAUGCGGACUACCCGCGACAGGACGGAAAGACCCCAUGGAGCUUUACUGUAGCUUGAUAUUGAGUGUUUGUACAGCUUGUACAGGAUAGGUAGGAGCCAUAGAAACCGGAACGCUAGUUUCGGUGGAGGCGUUGGUGGGAUACUACCCUCGCUGUAUGACCACUCUAACCCGCACCACUAAUCGUGGUGGGAGACAGUGUCAGGUGGGCAGUUUGACUGGGGCGGUCGCCUCCUAAAAAGUAACGGAGGCGCCCAAAGGUUCCCUCAGAAUGGUUGGAAAUCAUUCGCAGAGUGUAAAGGCACAAGGGAGCUUGACUGCGAGACAGACAGGUCGAGCAGGGACGAAAGUCGGGCUUAGUGAUCCGGUGGUACCGUAUGGAAGGGCCAUCGCUCAACGGAUAAAAGCUACCCUGGGGAUAACAGGCUUAUCUCCCCCAAGAGUCCACAUCGACGGGGAGGUUUGGCACCUCGAUGUCGGCUCAUCGCAUCCUGGGGCUGUAGUCGGUCCCAAGGGUUGGGCUGUUCGCCCAUUAAAGCGGUACGCGAGCUGGGUUCAGAACGUCGUGAGACAGUUCGGUCCCUAUCCGUCGCGGGCGUAGGAAAUUUGAGAGGACCUGUCCUUAGUACGAGAGGACCGGGAUGGACAUACCUCUGGUGUACCAGUUGUGCCGCCAGGCGCAUCGCUGGGUAGCUACGUAUGGAUGUGAUAAACGCUGAAAGCAUCUAAGUGUGAAACACACCUCGAGAUGAGAUUUCCCAUUCCUUUAUGGAAGUAAGACCCCUGAAAGAUGAUCAGGUAGAUAGGUUAGAAGUGGCAGUGCGGUGACGCAUGAAGCGGACUAAUACUAAUCGGUCGAGGACUUAACCAAG
rnacentral:rRNA from 1 species